AGGGAACGUCUGCUCUCCCAUUGGACGGGUGGAAGUUCCCCAUUGCUUCUCCUACCAAUCGCUCCACCUUUUCUGGAGAACGCUCCACCCCCUCAACCAUGAUUGACGGUCCCCGUGAAGAUUCUGCCCUAGAGUUCUAAAGUUGAAUUUAAAGAGAAAAGAGUGGUGGCAAUCCACUCGUGCCACGUGCUCCGUUUCGCGCGUGGAAAGCCACGCGGGACUUAGUCCAGGAAAAAAAAAAAAACAAGAAUUGAAGAUUGCUUUCCCAGCCAGGAUCUCGUUCGCACAAGAAUGGAAAUCCAAAAAUAUCCCAUCGGAGGCUACGUUAAUUGCAAAGAUCAUGGACUGUGCAGAAGCAGACAAGCUUACUGGACUUUUGCGAGAUAGACAAGAAUCGGGGUUAUAUAGGAGCUGGGACAGAUGGUAUGCUUGGCUGAAAAAAAGAAAUCUUAAGAAGAAUGAAAAUAUUAACCUUAAUGUGAACGUGGGUAAAUAUUUACAGGAGCAUUGCAUGACAAUUGAGAAUUUUUUUUUUUCUGGUUAAACUUUUCUUUCUUUUGAUGAGUUAGCUUAAUGGAAGUUUGUACUUUCUCUAGGCGAAAAUUGAUACGUUAAAACUCUAUAUGUAUUAUAUUACUCUCUGCAAUUCUAUCCAUAUUAUUAUAUUUUUUUUCUGUAUUUUUUAAUAAUUUUCAAUAAAAAUUAAAAAAAAAUAAGUAAUAAAAUUUAGCACACCAAAAAA